rnacentral:rRNA from 1 species
GAGUUGCGAACGGGUGAGUAACGCGUAGGUAACCUGCCUGGUAGCGGGGGAUAACUAUUGGAAACGAUAGCUAAUACCGCAUAAGAGUAGAUGUUGCAUGACAUUUGCUUAAAAGGUGCAAAUGCAUCACUACCAGAUGGACCUGCGUUGUAUUAGCUAGUUGGUGAGGUAACGGCUCACCAAGGUAACGAUACAUAGCCGACCUGAGAGGGUGAUCGGCCACAAGGGGACUGAGACACGGCCCUUACUCC